GAUGAACGCUGGCGGCGUGCCUAAUACAUGCAAGUCGAGCGAACAGAUGAGGAGCUUGCUCCUCUGACGUUAGCGGCGGACGGGUGAGUAACACGUGGAUAACCUACCUAUAAGACUGGGAUAACUUCGGGAAACCGGAGCUAAUACCGGAUACUAUAUUGAACCGCAUGGUUCAAUAGUGAAAGACGGUUUUGCUGUCACUUAUAGAUGGAUCCGCGCCGCAUUAGCUAGUUGGUAAGGUAACGGCUUACCAAGGCAACGAUGCGUAGCCGACCUGAGAGGGUGAUCGGCCACACUGGAACUGAGACACGGUCCAGACUCCUACGGGAGGCAGCAGUAGGGAAUCUUCCGCAAUGGGCGAAAGCCUGACGGAGCAACGCCGCGUGAGUGAUGAAGGUCUUCGGAUCGUAAAACUCUGUUAUUAGGGAAGAACAAAUGUGUAAGUAACUAUGCACGUCUUGACGGUACCUAAUCAGAAAGCCACGGCUAACUACGUG
rnacentral:rRNA from 1 species